UACGUAUGGUGCAAGCGUUAUCCGGAUUUACUGGGUGUAAAGGGAGCGUAGGCGGCGCGUUAAGUCUGAUGUGAGAACCCGAGGCUCAACCACGGGAGUGCAUUGGAAACUGGCGGGCUGGAGUGCCGGAGAGGUAAGCGGAAUUCCUAGUGUAGCGGUGAAAUGCGUAGAUAUUAGGAGGAACACCAGUGGCGAAGGCGGCUUACUGGACGGCAACUGACGCUGAGGCUCGAAAGCGUGGGGAGCAAACAGG
rnacentral:rRNA from 1 species